rnacentral:rRNA from 1 species
GCAAUACCUGCCACAGUUUUGUUCGAUUCUGGAGCUUCUCAUUCGUUCAUUUCGAAGAGUUUUGUUUUGCAACAUGGUUUUCCGAUACUUCCUUUGGAAAAGUCCAUGAUCAUCAAGUCCCCGGGAAAUAAGAAAAUCACACAGAGUUACUGCCAAGGUGUGAUUAUUGAGUUGAAAGGACUAAAGUUUCAGGCAAAUCUCAUCGUAUUGGAAAAUAAAGGCCUGGAUGUUAUCCUAGGAAUGGACUGGUUAACCACCAACAAGGGAUUUAUUGACUGCUUCAAUCGGACUGUAAUCCUCACUCACCAUCACGGCAAGACAAUAAAAGUUACAGCUCAAGAGAGACCAUGGUCA